rnacentral:rRNA from 1 species
GAUGAACGCUAGCUACAGGCUUAACACAUGCAAGUCGCGGGGCGGCAUGGGGGUUGCUUGCAACCCCUGAUGGCGACCGGCGCACGGGUGAGUAACGCGUAUCCAACCUGCCCUUCACCACGGGCUAACCCGGCGAAAGUCGGACUAAUACCGUAUGUUUUCCAUUGACGGCAUCCGAUUUGGAGGCAAUGUUUGGCUGAGAAAUGGUGGGGAUGGCUCCGAUUAGCUUGAAGGCGGAGUAACGGCCCACCGUGGCUACGAUCGGUAGGGGUUCUGAGAGGAAGGUCCCCCACAAUGGAACUGAGACACGGUCCAGACUCGUACGGGAGGCAGCAGUGAGGAAUAUUGGUCAAUGGGCGUAAGCCUGAACCAGCCAAGUAGCGUGCAGGAUGACGGCCCUAUGGGUUGUAAACUGAUUUUAUGCGGGGAUAAAGUGGCCCACGUGUGGGCUUUUGCAGGUACCGCAUGAAUAAGGACCGGCUAAUUCCGUG